CCUACGGGUGGCAGCAGUGAGGAAUAUUGGUCAAUGGACGAGAGUCUGAACCAGCCAAGUAGCGUGAAGGAUGACUGCCCUGUGGAUUGUAAACUUCUUUUAUCAAGGAAUAAAACGAGGCACGUGUGCCUUUUUGCAUGUACUUUAUGAAUAAGGAUCGGCUAACUCCGUGCCAGCAGCCGCGGUAAUACGGAGGAUCCGAGCGUUAUCCGGAUUUAUUGGGUUUAAAGGGAGCGUAGAUGGGUUGUUAAGUCAGUUGUGAAAGGUUGCGGCUCAACCGUAAAAUUGCGAUUGAUACUGGCAGUCUUGAGUAGAGUUGAGGUAGGCGGAAUGCGUGGUGUAGCGGUGAAAUGCUUAGAUAUCACGAAGAACCCCGAUUGCGAAGGCAGCUUACCAACCUGUGACUGACAUUGAUGCUCGAAAGUGUGGGUAUCAAACAGGAUUAGAUACCCCAGUAGUC
rnacentral:rRNA from 1 species